rnacentral:lncRNA from 1 species
GGAGCGUGCGCGUGGGAGCGUGCGCGUGGGAGCGUGCGCGUGGGAGCGUGCGCGUGGGAGCGUGCGCGUGUGCGUGUUUACGCUUCGAGUCGUCGCCUAAUCAGGUCAAAUGCUGCGAGAAAGAACCUCGGACGCAGGUAAUUCAAUGGUUUAAGCUUUAGCUGCCGGCGUAGGAAUGAGCGGUGCAAUCCAAAGCCCUUUGGCCAAUCCGGAACCCCGAGGAACGCGAGGCCGGCGUCAGCUCGCGCGCGAAGCCCAGCGUGCGGGGUGACGUACGUUUUGUCAGGCUGAAUGGGCUGUGUGCGCCUCAGCUGGAAGCGCGUGUAGACCGCGGAGGAGGCUCCCGGAAGACUCCUUUCUCUGUGGAAGUUCUAAUGGCUGGCAUGACGCUCGGAAGGGCUUGGCGACAGAUGUCUUGGUUCUAUUACCAGUAUCUGCUGGUUACCGCUCUCUACAUGCUGGAACCCUGGGAGAGGACUGUCUUCAAUUCCAUGUUGAUUUCCAUUGUUGGAAUGGCAUUAUAUACUGGAUACAUCUUCAUGCCUCAACAUAUCUUGGCAAUAUUGCAUUACUUUGAAAUUGUACAGUGAAUAUGGUGUGGUCAAGAAGCAACGGACCAGAGAUUCAUUGCAAGGAAGAAACAAUCUCCCUGGGUUAAAAUGAGACUUCAGCCGAUUCCAGACAUGUUAUUAAUAUAAAGACUAAAUUUCAUAUUACUAGGACAAGGAAGUGAUCCUGAUUCAUGCGUUGUAUUAAUUAAUUAUUCAAGUAUUCCCUUCCUACAAUAGUUUUGUCUACUUUGAUAUUGUGGUUCUUUGUACUCUAAAUAUCAGUAUUUUCUUAACUUUUGAAACUGUUUGACUAUUAUUCUGUGACAGCUUUUCUUGAGUAAACACUGAGUAAAUUUUGAUUGCUUUCUAUUUUUUAAUCUGAAAUCAUGAGUUAGGCCUCUUGCUUUGGUAGUUUUCUGGCACAAAAAUCUACCUGAAUAUAUUUAUAAGUCCAAAAUUUUGUAGAAGUAACAACAAGAUAAAAUGAGAAUAUUUUAAUUGAGAAACUUCUUUGUAAGUUUGUGCUCAUGAGUAGUUUCAGCUGUCUAGAUUGUGCUCAAUACACAACAUUUACUUUGCUUUAGUGCUAUUAAAAAAAUUCUUUUUCCCCUUAACAGUAGAAGAGCAAAGAUCCAUUCUAGAGUUAAUAAAGGAAUACCUAACUUAAUAAAAGCUUGGAAAAGUAAUUGGCUUAGUUAUCAUCAUUAUUUAUGGAAUGCUGACAUCAAGUAUUCGUUUUAUUAAAGUAGUAAAAGGUCACCCUAAAGGAUAUUGCUAAACAUUGUAAUCCUGUAAAAUUGAAUUUCAAUGUUGUCUUUGGUACUUUAAAAAAAAAAAAGGGCAUAUUACUGUUCAGAGUGCAUAAUUAGCAAAACUAUAAUCCCGAAAGCUUUACAAACUUAUUUAAAAAAAAAUUGCAUUUCACACUUUGUGAUGUGUUACAUGUGUUAUAAAAAAUUAUAUUUCUGAAAUGUUUAAAAUUAAUCUUAACUUUAAUCUUCUGCUAUAUUUUUUUCUCUUUUAUAUUUAUUGCUACUAAAGAGGAAUCAUUUUAACUGAUUUUCAGUCUCUCCACAUUGUAGAAUUGAUUAACUUUAAGAAGUAAUUCAGGGGGCAUUUAGGUGGCACAGUGGGAGUACACUUAAAGUUGCAUGUUGGUAAUAACAAGAUGAACAGGGAAUAUUUUAAGUGAACUUUAUGUAAGUUUAGUCUUUAUUCAUUAUGAAAUAUUUACUUUGGAUCACAGAAUUAAAAGCUGGAAGGGACCUGCUCAGAAAUAGACUACUCAGUUCCCUCUUUGUAUAGCUGAAACUGUAAUUAAGUGACUUGUUAGAGGUUUCUAAUCCCAUAUUUGGGGUAAACCAGGAAAUCUGAGGUAUAGUCGGAAAAACAUAAGGAAGCAUUCUAUAAGAAUGCUUGUUUGGAAUAGUUGUUUGGAAAUGGACAAGUUGCUAAACUUUUUUGAAUCCAAAUGUCUUCAUCCUAAAAUGACUAAUUAGAAUAAUAUUUUUCCCCUACUUCAGAGUAAAAGACCUUUGUAAACUUUAAAGUGUUUAAGAAUAUGGAGAGGAGUUUGUUACAAUGGAGCUAGAAAAGACUCUACAACUGUUUCAUGAACUCUGUUGGGGAAAACUUAUACAUUUCCUUCAAUUAUGAAUAUAAAAAAAGCUAGGCUUCAGCAGGCUGUCCAAAGUAUCUAUGACACAAAUAAUUUAUAGUUAACUCUUUAUUAGAUGUCAUUCUGGCAUGGUGGAAUGAGAGGGGGGGGUCUACAUCAAGAAAAAUCUAUGUUCAGUUUCUGAUUGACAUGUUGGCCCUGUCCAGUUAAGUGACACUGGAUGGGUACUUCUCAGUAGCCCAGCAAGUCUUUAAGCUCUAACAGAGGUCCAUGCCCAUCAGCAACUCAUAUGAAUCAUGUAGUUACCUGGGACCCGUGGUAACACAAUAUUGUCAGAAUGACAGUUGAUCAACCAUCUAACACUGCCUCUCGCUUGCUUAAAUAUUUCUUGAUUUACUAGACUUGUGAUUAUAUAUAUAUAUAUAUACACAUAUAUAGUGUAUAUAUAUGUAUAUAUAUAUGUAUAUAUAUAUAUAUAUAUUCCAAGAAUGCACUUUAACAUAUUUUUGAAAUACAAAUAUAUCUACUUUUUCUCCAUGCUUUUAAAAAAUCAUCUUCUUAGAACAAGCCCACAAAGCAUUUAACUUCUACCUUUCUACAUGCUCAGUAUGAAAUAGUAAUGUUUAAUCUGAAGUUCAUCAUUUUUUCUUUCAGUGCUAAGGUACCAUUCUUAAUAUCUGGUUCUUGUAGUUUACUGUAAAUAUCAUUAAGCAUUUUGGAGUAAAGAGAACUACAUGCAUAAUGUUGGCCCUGUUCUAUUUCACCAUUGUUAUUAAUUUUGAUAUCAUGCUUAAUUCAGUUUGCAAUUUGGAUAAAGGGCUUCCAGUAAUAUUUAUUCCAGACAAUAUUUAGGAGUUCAUCCUUGUAGUCAGGAAUGCCUGCAUUUAAUCUCAUCUGUGAUUCAUAUUGCUUAUGUGAUCCUGGGAAAUCACUUAACCUGUAAGUGCCCCAAUCAACUUUCUGCGACUAAAUUACACACUAGUGUAAUUGGAGUCAAAUGGAGUUAGCUUUAUACUUUUACUAAGCAAAAUUAAAUGUUAUGUGAAUCAGAAUAAUAGAAUGAGUUCAGACUAACUUUCAAAAUAAUUUUCAAAAAUGUUAAUAAAUUGAGUGCUUACUAUUUCAGGCAUAGUAUGAGUGAUACAAAUGUAAGAAAGCAAAUUUUCAAAGAACAUACAUUCUAAUGGGAGAAAAAACACAAAUAGGAUCUGAAAGAGAGAAAAUAGUGGUAUAUGGAAAUUGCCAAAAAGCGGCAUGGAAGCCUGGUCAGGGCAAAAACUCAUAGGAUGGAGCUCUAGUUGAUUCCAAGGGUCAAGUCUAAAACUCCUGUGGGGGAGGAAAUAGGAUGAUGACCAGAAUCGGGAACUUUUCUAGAAAAGUAUAACAAGUGUUGCCAUUUUCUGUACUCUCACUUUCUUACAAUUUGGCUUCCAAUGUUCUUCCACCAAAUGUAUCAUUUCCAAAAUUACUAAUGAUCUCUUAAUUGCCAAAUGCAGUGGUCUUUUCUCAUAUGACUGCUCAUUGUUCUUGAUCUCUGUAUAAUUUUUCACAGUGUUGAUCACUUUGUCCCCAUUGAUAAUAAUCUUUUCUCUAGGUUUUCAGGACACUGCUCUCUCCUGGAUCUCUUACUUAUAUCCAUUCCUUUUCUGUCUUUUCUGCUGGGUCUUCCUCCAGAUCUCACACUCUAACCAUAAAUGUCCCUCAAAGUUUUGUCCUGGGUCUUUUCCUUCUAUCCUAUUUCCCUUGAUGAUCUCAUCAUCUCCUAUGGAGAUAAUUGCCCUCACCAUGCAGAUGUUUCAGAAAUCUAUCGUUCCUGUAGAUCCAACAAUCCUAUAAGAUAACUAUUGUUUAUUACACUCAAUUUACAGAUAAGGAAACUGAAGUUGAAAGUGAUUCAGUAAUUUGUACAGGUCACAGUUAGUUUCUGAGGCAGACUGAGAACAAGUCUUCUUAGCUUCAAAUACAUCAUGCUAUAUACUGACACCUAAUAAAACAAAGCCUCUCCUUAUAGAUUGUAGAUGAUUUGUUAAUUUUCAUAGAAAGUCAUCCUUCUGGAGUUAAUGAUGGAUAAAAAAAGUUCUCUUUUACAUACAGAAAACAAAGCAUUCAAAAUACAAAGUUAAUGGAACUGGUGGCAACCAGUAUGGUAAGGUCAUAAAUUGACCUUAUUUGUCCAUAGUGAAGCCUCCUCUUAGAAGUAACCUUCCUAAAGAGCUAAUCUGACCAUAUCAUCCCACCCCUUACCCAUUAUUUGGUAUACUCGGCUGCUCCCAUGGCUCCUUGUUACUUCCAGGAUCAAACAUAAAUUCCUCUCUUUCACUUCUGAAGUCCUUCAUACCUUGGUCCCUGCCUGCUUUUCCAAUAUUUUUAUCCCUUUCUCCUCAUAACAAACUACAAUUUGGUGACACUGCCCUUAUUGCUAGAGAUUAGAAGUUUCUCUCUUUUAGAAUGAGUUCCCUGUACAUAGAGAAAGUUUUUGCCAUUUUUUGUGUAUCCCCAGCUCUUAGUACAGGGCCUGGUAUAUAGUCUUAUUGAUUCUUGUUAAUAUACACAUUAUGAUAUAAGCCUGUUUUUUAAAGUUUGUAAAAUGUUUAUCACAGGCUUACCAUAAAACCUAACCCUACACUCCUAGAAAAAAAGUAUCAAUGACUAUCCUUGUCCUAUUUUGCAUAUGUUCCAGGCACAGCUAUACCAUUACCUGUUUAAACAUUAUGCAACUAAAAUCUGGCUUUAUUACUCUAUAAGAAGACAGUAUUGUUUUGGGUGUUUUAUUUUAGCCAAGUUUUCAAAAACGUUAGGGAAACUAGAAAGCCCAAUGCAAAGGCACAGGAGAAUAGGGUUUCCUGACUUGGUCAGGAAAUGUUCAUUUUGGGAGAGCCAGAAGACAGUCAGUGAGUCAGGACUAGAAUAAAGAAAAGAGACUGGAACUAGAAAGAUAGUAAACAUAUGUCCAGAUUCUAUGUGCUGGGCACUGUACUAAGCCCUGGAAAUAAAGAACACAACAAAAAAAGAUAGUCCCUGAUAUAAAGUAAUACAUUUGUAGACUACUUUUAAGUUUUGCUUUGCAAAAUCUUGACAUUCUUCUAAAUACUUUUCAACUUCCAUUUUGAAAUGUCUUCAAAUAAUAUUAUAUUAGCCCGUUAACAAAAUCAGUCUCAUUUUGUAGUGUUGUAUAUACACAUCCUCCCUGGAUUCAAUGCCUUUUUGCUCAUUCUUUCCCGAAAGAAGGGAAAUGUGCAUGUCUUAAUGAGCCUGUAUAACACUACAAGCAGGAAAUUAGAGCAUACUUACUUAGGGAAGUAUUGGAAUAAACAAUUUCAUCCAAUAUACAUCCAAAAUAUCUAAGUUUCCUAAUUAGGUCAUGGGAAAGCAGGUGUCAGUAGCUCAUUCCUGACUCAGCACUUAUUAGGCACUUGCUGUGUGCUAAGUGCUAGGGAUACAAAAAGGGGGAAAAAGGAUAGUCCAUACCCUAAAGGAGUUCAUAAUUUGUUUGAGGAAUCAACCAGGAAACAAAUAUGUACAAACAAGCUAUAUGCAAGAUAAAUAGGAAACAAAAAGAAUGAACAAGGAUUGGAAAAGGCUUUCUGCAUAAGAUGAGAUUUUAGUUGGGACUUAAAAGAAGCCAGUAGAUGGAGAUAAGGAAGAAGAGCAUCCCAGGCAUGAAGGACCACCAGAAGAAAUGUACACAUUGAAAGAAUUGAGCGUUUUCUUUGAGGAGUACAGGGUAGGGAGUAAGGUGUAGUAAGACCGAACAAAAGUUCUAUAUGAUCCUGGAGGCAACAAGGAGCCCAGAGUGGGCAAGAGGUCAAAUAGCCAGGUGACAUGGUUAGGCCUGCACUUUAGAAAAUCCUUUUGGAUGUCAAGUAGAGGAUGAAUUAAAGUGGGGAGAGAUGAGACAAACUGAUGCACUAGGAAGCUAUUGUUCAGGUAUGAGGUGAGGAAAGCCUGCACCAGAGAAGUGGCAGUAUCAUAGAAGAGAACAGGGCGUAUUUGAGAAAUGUUAGAAAAGUGUUACCUUUGUUACUCCAAUAAAAACCUAGACGCCGAUUAUGCAACAGAUUGGAUAUGGAGGAGGGCAAUUAAAGGCUCCUCUGAAUUUAAAUAUAAAUCCAGUUGUUGGCACACUCAGCCCUCCAGGAUCUGUGCUUUGGUCAAGACAUUUACACGAAGUGGUAGCCUGACCAAACAAAACAACAGUAUUUAAAUCAUAUUUUUGUCCUUUCCUGAAGAUUUUGUACUUUUUCUCAAUUCAUAUGCCUAUUUCCUAAAGGGUUACCUUCUGGUACACUAGAUACGUUUUUAGAGCCAGCUCUUUAGAUUGAUCCUUUCCAUGGUUCAUAGUACUUUGUUCCCUUUGAUGGAGGAUUCACCCCCAUCUUACCAAAAGGAAAUAGAAGCACUCUUACGGUCUUUACUUAGAUUCUCCCCUGCCCCUUCACCAGUUUCUUACUUACCUGUGACUGAUUCCAAACCUUUCUCCUGAACUGAAUUAAUUCUCUAUCUCUGCUAGCCCAGUCUAGAGUUCCCAAGCCAAGUUCAAGGAUCAUUGGAAAACUCUCUAGAGGGUGCCUGCAGAAGGAAUUGGUUAUAGGAGCCUUCAUGAACAGGAAAUGUUCCAGAUGAAUCCCAAAGUUGUGUGGGACAACUAUCCUUACCCAAAUUAGAGACUCUCUAGGUAAAAACCAAAAAGGAUUUAUUACAAUCUCAUGAAAAAAGGUGACUCAAUAGACAAGGGGUCAUCAGCAGAGGAGUAUUAAGCACAAGAUGCAAACACAGAAUUAUAUAAACCCUAAUAUAAAAGCCAUUACCGCCUUCUGACCUUUUUUUCCCAUUGGCUGGGGAAGUCCAGGCUUAAAUCCUAACCUUGCCAAUCUACCCAGACACUAAAGUCUACCAGCCAAUUGAUGAGAUUAGGGAACCAAAUGAUACGAUUAGUGGCAGUGGAGAGAGUUGUGGGAAUCCCUCUUUGGUCAGUGCAGAUCCAACAUGAAAGAAUUCAUGAAUCUGAAAAGUUUGGAUGGCAAAAGGGAAGUUUUGUUGGCACUGAGAAGUCAGUCCUGGCAGAGAGAGAGGUUGUAGCAGAGAAAUCCUGGCAGAGAGAUAAACAGAGGUGUUAACACUGAGCAGAGAAUGUCUUCUCAGCGGGCAGGGGUCCUGACAGGCAGCUAUGUCAAGGAGAGAAGUUCCUUGACAAGGCAUGAUCCUAUUUUUGGGCCUCUGCAAAGAAAUGAGCCCCAAAUUGCCCUCUAAUAGGAAAUCUGAGACUGAAGUUUCAAUUGAAUGAAACUCUUUUUCAAUUUUGUCACUGCUCCCAGGCUUAGAUUUCCAUUGAAUAAGACCACUUAAGUUCGAGCUAAGUAGGUCCUGGACUAAUUUUCAGCUCAAUAGAGAGUGCAGUUACUCAAUAGAAAUAUCAGGUUCAGAUCUCCAGAUAAAUGAGACCACAAGUUUGAGCUAAGUCCUGGACACACCACUUUAUCUUGAUUUCCUGAGGUGUGACUCUGAGAGAGUUUCUCCCUCCCAAAGUCAGAAGAAAAUUUCAGGGUUCUUCCCAUCACAAUGAUACACUCUUUAUCAUAUUAGGAACUUAAUGUUAAUUGUUGCAAAAAGAGCAAAGGGAAUGGGAGGAAAAUGUGUUUAUAAGUGAACACGUGGCUUUUGGGUAUAGCACAAAUAAGUUAUAAUUAGGAUAUAGGUUGAGGCCACAUUCUUAUGAAAGGUUUUCACUCAGUUUAUCCCAUUCAGGGUCACUAUAUCCCAGCUAAAGAGAAUUAAAGAAUGUCAUAAGUCAACAGAAGGAAAUGGAGGUACUGGUUGAGUUCAAAUAACCUGAUUAUGCCCCAGGCAAACAAUUUUUAAUUUAGCAUGCUUAAUAAGCCUCAUGCAUAUAAGGCUGACACACCUUGCAUAAAAUUAGAACCUUAUUAAUAGAACAAGUGAUGAUGUGGCAAGGGGAAAGGGAUAUGUAAUGGGAGUGUUAUGAAAUAUUAGAUUUUGGAAGAAUCUCUUCCAAUGGAAAUUCUGAGGAAGAAGGAGACAGAGCGAGAUUAUGGCAUAUAACUGCUGGUUUUGGCUUCUUUAAACUGCAUUUAUGCCUCCUCAAAAGACUGGUGCCUGUUUUUUGCAAGAAACAUAAUUAAGCCUUCUUCCACUCACUCCCAAGAAUUUGAGAUUGAAGUUUUCAUUGUUAACAGUGGUGCAUUGGCUGAGAAAUCUCUAGGGGUGAAUGAGUCAGGGACAGGGGAGAGCACUUUUUGCUCUUUUUGAGCGGCUUUGGUGCCCAGACCCAGGAGUUUUCGCUCAGUUGCAAGGGAACCUGAAAACCUAAAAAAACUAAAUCAUACAGACAGUGACUCAUCCCAGGGAAAAGAUAAUAGGGAAAAAUGAUGAAGUAUUUUUGUUAUGAAUGGCCGGAAAACCCAAAGAUAAGGGAUUUAAAAUAUGUGCAGUAAGAUCUCUACCCUUAUUAUGCUGAUAUAAAUUGUUCCCCCUUUAACUUUUUUUUGGAGGGGCAGAUGUAAACUGUCCCCUUUGGCGGGGGGAAUCUCGGCCUAGGACAUAGUCAGCAUCCUUUUGAAUGGCUCAAACUGCUCCCCAGUUCCAGGCCAACAGUGAUAUAAGGAGGAUGGGGGGAUUGUCAACCUAUCUUUGCAAAAUCAUCCUAAUAGGAUUCUUUGCCCACUAAGAAAGCUGUCUUCUUAUGCAAAAACUCUUUUGCCACAAACUUCCGGUUUGCGAAUUCCUUUCUCAUGGAAUCUGCGACAUAAACCAGAGGGAAUCUCUUACCCUCAAUUCUCAUACCUCAUCAUUUGGUGGUCUGGUACGGGGACCCCUGAUAGACUGGCCAAGGUAAUCCCCUUUUUGUUGGUUCCCUGCAAGUCUCCCUGCAACACUCCAUUUCUUUCUGUUAGAAAACUGAAAGGGUAGUUUUGCAUGAUGGAAGACCUCAAGGCAGUUAAUGAAGCAGUCAUUUCAAUUCAUCCCAUUGUGCCCAAUUCUUAUAUGAUUCUUACCUAGGGAACACAAAAUGGUUCUCCACCCUAAACCUUAAAGAUGCUUUCUUUUGUAUAUCUUUGCAUAAAGAUUCACAAUUUGAAUGAGUGAAGCCAGGAGAACACCCCAACCAAGUAACUUGGACAGUUCUGCCCCAAGGCUUCCAAAAUUAGCCCACACAUAUUCUGAUAGGCUCUGGCUAAAGACUUAAAGUAAUUGGAGCUGCAUAACAGCAGUCUCAUCCAGUAUGUGUAUGACAUUUUAAUCUGCAGUCCCAACAGAGAAGAGUCCCUAAAUACAGCCAUAAAAACCCUAAAUUUUCUAGCCUCGAGGGGCUACAGGAUCUCCUUACCCAAAGUCUAUAUUGCCUGCCAGUCUCUCAAAUAUUUGAACCACAAUCUUACCCCUACUUCUCACUUUCUAACUGAGGAGAGGACCUUCCAGAUCCUGCCUUAGAGAAAUAGCUAUACACUUUCCUAGGCAUGGCUGGUUUCUGCAGAAUUUGGAUUCCUAAUUUUGGGAUUAUUGCUAAACAUCUCUAGGAUUCUAUUCAAGGCUCUGAUUAUCUUCCCCUUGAAUGGGGACCUGAUCAAGCCAAGUAAAACCCUAAAGGUUAAAAUGACCUCUGCCCCUGACUUGACCCUACCUAAUUUAGAAAAGCCUUCUCUCUGUAUGUGGGUGAAAGGUGAGGUCAGGCUCACAGGAAAAAACCCUUACAGAAGAAAGGGGAUACAUCCUUUCUUCUGGAUGUUUUCAAACAUCCUCAAACCAAGUCUUAAUCCCAGAGGCAAGUCAGUGGAAAUUUAUCUUUGAUCUUCAUCAGGCCACACACCAGGGAAGAAAUGCUCUCCAAACCUUUGUGAAACACAUUUUUACUGGUCAUAAACUGGGAGAAUAGACAGGCAGACGGGUCUUCCAGGCCUGCCCAAUUUGUGCCUGAGUGAAUACUGAAGGAACUGUUAAACCUCCCCCUCUGCUAAAGCCUUUUCAGAGAAGGGUCACAUACCCAGGGGAAGAUAGGCAAAUACACUUUACACAUAUGUACCCCUCUAGAGGUUUCAAGUUACUUCUGGUUUUCAUUGACACCUUUACUAACUGGGUAGAAGCCUUUACCUACAGGAAUGAGAGAGCUCAGGAGGUAUCAAAGUGCUUGCUAAAAGAGAUCAUAUCUCACUUUGCACCGAACUCCUUACAGAGCAACAAUGGCCUGGCCUUCACUUUUCAGGUAACUCAAAAUAUAGCCAAAGUGUAAUGCUGGAGAAACUGAGGCAGGAGAGAGAUUAGAGUUUUCAAUAUUUUAUUAAUUGGAGAGUAUAAUUGACUAGCAGGACUCUCGUCUCAAAUUAUCCAGUCAGAUAAAGAUAAAGACCACGGAAUCCAUGUUGGUCCCAGGGCUGGAGGAGACUGUCAUAGCCAGUAGCCAGCCUCCAGCAAUGAACAGGAGAAACCCAGCUCUUAGAUACCCUCUAGAGACAAAGAAGGGUAAGAAGCCCGGGAAAACUUCUGUCAGGAUGGGGGGAGACCAUAAAUCCUAAAAGCCCAGAGAAGGGAUGUCUGAAUACACAGAGAUAAAGAUGUCAGUGAGGUCUUGAGGGAUAUUGUACAUUCUUGAGGACAGGGAAAAGUCAGGAGGUCUGCUCUCUUGUUUAUCUUGCUAACAAUUUAUAAUCUUAGAGUGAACGGUUCCCAAUCUUAAUGAACCAGAAGGGUUUUUUACAGUUUUAAGGAAUUGAGACAGAACAGUUAAGGAAACUCAGACAAAGGAAACUAGUUCAGGGAAACCGAGUCAGAACAGUUAACGAGAACUGUGGCAUAACAAAAGCACUUAAAAUUGCCUACCACCUUCACUCUGCCUGGGGUCCUCAGGCUUCUAGGAAGAUGGAAAAAAUGAAUCACACCCUCAACCGAGUCCUUACUAAACUGUGCUUAGAGACUUGAGAGAAUUGGGUGAAGAAUCUCCCAUUAGGGCUUCUUAAAGUCCACAUUGCACCUGGGAAGAAUAUUAAGCUGAGCCCCUUUGAACUUCUGUAUGGGAAGCUUUUUUAAUCUCCGACAUUCUUAUAGAUCCAGAACAGCAUUUGGUCACUCAGUUUGCCACACAGCUUGGUGCAGUCCAGAAGGCCUUUCUUGAAUAUGCAAAUGAGCAUCUCCCUAAACCUACAGAUGCUCAUACUCAGACUGCCUUCCCUGUAAAUCCAGGGGACAUGGUAUGCUUGAAAUCUUGGAAACUUCAAGGUAUUGACCCUCUAGAUAUAAACUGGAAAGGAUCAUAUAAGGUCAUUCUGACUACUCCAACAUCAGUCAAACUGGAAGGGCCCCCAGCUGGACUCAUUUCUAGGAUUAAAAAUGCUGUAUCUGUUACCUCUCCUUCAGAUAUCUCAGAAUGUUCCUGUGAGCCCAUAGAGGACCUGAAGUUUGUCUUCCACAAGACCCCUGAAAAAACUCUAGAGAAAGAAAGAUGAAAUUGUUUAUCUUUCUCUCACCAUAAUCUUCUCAUCAUGAGAACUUUACUCCUGAUACUCUCUCUCCAGCUUUCUUGGCAUUACUCUGUGAGCCCUUGCCAGUAGGGAGAUAACUUCCUAGUCAGAUAAAGGAAUUCUUUGGGUAAUGAGGGCAUUCAGGAUUGUUGGGUGUGCCCAAGGUGGUCCAGAGAUGCGACCUAAUGUAUUUUUUGCACAGGUCUCAUUCCCAAAUGUUGCCAUCUUCACCCUGGAUGCCACCCCAUUGGUACUAACUACCCCCCAGAGGAACUACUAUGAUCUGACUAUCUCCUAUUUUCUUGCUGGGAAAGAUCUCAUAUUUACACAUUACCACACCCAUAACACAGAGAGAGUAGUUGUCACCAUGGCCCAUAAUGGCCACAUUUACAUCCCUGAUGUGGGGGCCCUGACUUGUACCACCAGUACUGUUGGUGAUUGACUACUCUCAAAUCUGCUGUAAUUUCACCUCAGCAACCUGUACCAGCUGCACAGAUGGGUCAAGGGCUAGAUGUACCUAUGACUGUGGAUCACCCUGAAAAUAACUGUAGGGUAUCCAUUCCAAGAUUAUCCUGGCAAAUUUGCUCAUAAUGUUUCUGCACCAUAAUCUUUGAAACUUCAUGACCUCCUGAAAACUAACAUUUCAAUUGAUAAGAGUGUCAUGUAACUACAAUCAUCCUUAGGGACAAGCAACCAGGAAACUGCUACAAAACUUGACCUCAGGUACCAUUUGUGUACCUAAGGGAUAUGCUUUUCUCUGUAAACUAAGUUCUCCAUUUUACUUCAGUGUUUUUAAGGAACCUGUUAACAGGAAUGCCUCUGACUGGAACCUUCCCCAACCUGUUAUUCUCUCUGUUUGAUGCUUAACCCCUUUUAAGCACUAUGGGUCUUGCACUCUAGGCCACCUAAGUGCUUCUUUCACUGUAUAUAAUGCCACUGCCUCAAAACAGUGCCCCGACCCUUUCAAGGAGACAAAGAUGGGGAUUUUGGGAAAGGAAAGUCACAGCAAUGCUAAUAAGUACCCUGAGUGGGAUACUUAGAACAUGAAAACAUCCUUUCCAACCUGACUGCUACAAUCAAUCAGAUGGCCAACAAAACUGCACACUCUCUCCAGGAGAUCCAAGAAUCUUUGGACUCUUGCUAACAUGGGUUUUAGAUAACUGAAUGGCCUUAGAUUAUCUCCUUCCCUCAAGUGGAGGUUUCUGUGCCCUAGUCAAUACCUCUUGCUGUAGGUACAUUAAUAACUCAGGAAAGGUUGCACUUCAUACUGAGAGAAUCUUAGAGAAAACUGGCUGGAUGUAAGACAUUCAUGGAAAACUCCUCAUAUACCCCCAGUCUUCCUCUGGGAAAGUAUUAUACCAAGAAUUUAGUUAUGGUCUCUACUAACCCCAAAACUAACUCCAAUUAUAAAUAUAAUAAUAAGUAUAAAUAAAUAAAAAUAAUAAUUAUUUUUUUACUCAUAUUUGGCCCCUGCAUUUUUAAUUUGCUCGUGAGAUUUGUUUCCUCCAGGCUUCAAACUAUGAAUUUUCAACUGCUCCUUCAGCCUGAAGAUCAUAGGAUAAAUGACACAACAUCCCUUAGAUGCUGCUUCUGCUGUCUUCAGAUCUCGUACUUCUCUUCCUGGCCUGAACUUCCAGUGAAGUAGGGACAGCUCUGUGACCCUUGUCAGCUUGAAGCAACCACAGAAGAUGAGACCUUUGUCCCGUUACCCCAAAUGAAUUUGGAGGGAAUGCUUGAGGGGGAGAAAAUGAUGUAAAUUGUGUCCCCUUUAACCUUUGGGGGGAGGGCGCAGAUGUAAACUGUGUUCCUUUUGGGGGGAAUUCCUGACUCUCAAAUAUUGGGAGGAGCACACCUUUCCCAGACAACUCCCAUUCAAUUGGAAAUCUCAGCUUGCGCAUAGUCAACAUUCUUUUGAGUGACUCAAACUGCUCCCCAGCCAAGGCUGGCCCAAUAUAACCCGGGGGGAAUGGGGUUGUCAACCUAUCUUUGCAAAAUCAUUCUAACAGGAUUCUUUGCCCAUUAAAAAAGAUGUCUUCUUAGUGCAAAUAAAUCCCCUUUUGUCAAAAACUUCCGGUUUGCAAUUUCUUUCACAAGGAAUCUGCAACAUUGACCAGAAGGGAUCUCUUACCCUCAGUUCUCGCACUUCAUCAAUACCGUCUUGUAAUACUUUGUAAGUAUUUUAAUCUUUUUUUCUGUCCAUGCUUCUGUGUUGACAGAAUGUCUGUGUCGUGUUUGUACUGUGAGCAAGAUUCUGUUAUCUUGAAAGAGUUUAAAUGCAGCCAUAAAGAAAAAAACUUCAAAGAGGUACAGAUAGGAAAAGUACUGAGAAAUAUUUAUUAACAUCCCUGACUCCUACCUUAAAGAAAAAAAAAAACUAUUAAAAUAUUUUUGAUGGGUUCUUAUGUGGUUGAGAUUAAUCAUUAAGUUGGAUGGCUUAAUGAUUAGUAAGGCACCACUCGUAGAAUUUAUUUUAAGGGGAAAAAAAAAUUGGUUUUUAUUUUUAAGUAUUUUAAGAAUCAUUAGUUCUAGGGAAAAAUUAUUGUAUCUUAUGGAAAGUUUGAAAAGAGCUUUAAAAGCAAUUGAUAAAAUUGAAGAUUAACAAGGAAACAAGUCUCUUUCAGCCCCACCAAUCCCAGUCCUUAUUGAAAGGAUGGACAAAGAGGAGUGUCAGAUCAGAAUGAGAAAGAAAUGAGACAUGCAGUUUUAAAGGGGUUGUAAUCAAAGUCCACUAAAGGAUAGAGAACAUUUAAGCACGUAGGAAUGAAAAGAGCAUAAGCUGAAAGGCAUUUGAGAGUUAUGGAAAUCUGGGGAAAAAGAAAAAGCAGUAUGCUAUCACUUUUAAAACUCUGGCCAACAAUGAACCUACAUUUCAUUAUCAGAAUUCAGACUUGUGAAACUAUACCAGGAAGAAUCUCAAGGUAAAAACCCAUUUGAAGCAAAAACUAGCACUUAGCCCUUUACUGGCUUACAAAAAAAGAGGUUUGUGUGAAUUGGGAAAAUAACCAAGAGGUAAGUGAGUUUGACUGAAACAUCUAAUUAGAAUUUAGAGAAUCUCACAAACUGAAGUACUGGUUAAUUUUAAAAUAACUUUUUAAAUUGGUGUGUGUUAAAAUUGGAAACUCAACUGCUCAUUGUAUGAGACUCCUAUUUAUUUGGUGGAUUUCUCUUUGAGCUAGGGAAACUUAUUUAAGGUAAUAAACAGGUGGGGAAGCCUCCUUAAAAUUCCCUAAACAAAUAGCUUAGAGAAAGAAAAUUCUUCCACUUAAAUCCAUUACUGAAUUAUGAAACUCCAUGAAUACUAACUGAUAAGCAAAAAGGUUCUAAGAUUGUAGAGAAUUUGGUUUGUUAUCCAGAAAACUGAACAUUAUUAAAAACUAAUGGAAGUGGAAAAUGUAUUUAAAAUCUAUCAGCCUCGCUAUUCCAAUAAAUGCAAUUUAGGAAAUUAAGUAUUUCCAUCAUUGUGAAUUAAGAAGAAAUUAUAGCUAAUACUAUUUGGCUAUUACUUUUGAAAUUUUCAAGAUUGUUAACUAAUUUAUUAUAAGUUACUGCCAUUAUGUUAAAACCUAAAGUUGGUAAUUACUGUGUGUAGAACAAAAAGAUUGGUGAAGCAGUUGGGAGAAGCCCAGAAUAGACUGAGGAAAUUCAGUGCCAAAAAAAGAUAUUUAAAAUUUCCCCUUUAUUGGAGAGAUGGGGGGGGUAGGAAGAGGUGGCUCAAGGUGGAGUGAUCAAACCCCCUGUUAUAAUUAUGGAUAGAAUGGACACUUCAGGAGGGAUUGUUUAGAAUUAACAGAGGAAAAAGUGGUACCCUCUUAAUUUUUGAGGAAAAUGAGGACUAGGGGUAUCUAGGGUUCCUUCUUUUUAGAGCCCGCCAGGAACUCCUAGUAAAUUUGAAGAUUGAGAUUAAUCAAGAGUAACAAGGAAAAGAUACCGGGAGUAAUUUGUUAACCAGAGAUUUGAUUAUUUAAUAGGGGUGCUAUUGGAAUUAAAGGUGUUGAAUCAUCAGGUAGUAAUUAAAAUGCAUGUCUUCCAGUAGAGCA